rnacentral:rRNA from 1 species
GUCCCCCUCCCCCCUCUGUCGGGCCGCGCUCGGUCAUGCACCGUCUUUCGAGUCGGCGUCGUGGCCGUGCGCUCCCGGCAAACACAACGAACCCCGGCGUGAAUUGCGCCAAGGAAAUAUAAAGAAGGGUCAUGUCCCCGGCACCUUCGUGUCGGACAAGGGCGUGUCAUCUUUGAUGUCUUUAACGACUCUCGGCAACGGAUAUCUCGGCUCUCGCAUCGAUGAAGAACGUAGCGAAAUGCGAUACUUGGUGUGAAUUGCAGAAUCCCGUGAACCAUCGAGUCUUUGAACGCAAGUUGCGCCUGAAGCCAUUCGGCCGAAGGCACGUCUGCCUGGGCGUCACGUACCCAAUCGCCCCCCAAAACCUCCCACAUCUCUAGCGAUUUGUGGAGGGCUCGGAGGACGGAGAUUGGCCUCCCGUGCUGUAACGGCGCGGAUGGCCUAAAAGCAAAGCAUCGAGCGACGAAACGUCACGACAAGUGGUGGUUGAUAAAGCCCUAGCGGCAGCCUCAUCGUGUCGUGUGCGUCCAGUCGCGUUCGAUAGCCCAACGACCCCUACACGUCUCGACGAAUUCUGUCGCGA